CAAAAACUAAACAAAGAAAAGUCUGUGGAAUGAGAUGGAUGGCUUCCUGCCCUCCCCUCACUCAGACUCACCUGCAGCCACUGUCAGGCUUUUCUGGUUCUUUCCUGCCUCCUCUAUUCAGGGGCUAAGCAGGUGAGGAUACCCCCUCUGGUCACUGAUGUCUUUCUCUUUUUCUCUCCCUGCCCAUCUCCCAGACCUUUGGCUUCUGUGAUGAGGGUCAUCAUAGAUACAACGUCAGGGCCCAAAGGGACCUGAGGGACCUCCCAUGCCCCUCACGCCCAGCAUCACCUACUGGCUGUCUACUGUCUACUCAGUCUCUGCUGAGCAUCCGAUCCACAGAGGGGAGUCCCACAGGGGCCUUUCUGCUGCUGGAGGAGCCACUAACAGGAAAAGGCCUGGGCUCACAGGUUGCCCAGCUGGGGAAAGGACCAAGGAAGAUUUCAUGGCAUUACUGACUUUGAGGUUUAGGUGUAGAAGGAUAGACCAGGCAGGUAUUAGCCUGGCUGGGGCUGGUGCCCGGAUUUGCUGAUGUUUGGUGUGGUGGUUCUGAGGAGCGUUUCCUCAAGGAUGAAUAAAAGGCCCUGCAGGGAGCAACCAGUGGCAAACAGCACAGUUUGAGGUUAGAUCCAGUAGGGCUGAGCCCUGGUUCUGGUGCCUUCUAGCCCUGGUACCAGGGAGGAGCUAAUGGGCCUCUUUGUACCAGGUUCAUCUUUAAGAGGCCUGUGAGGAUGAAAGUCUCACACGGCCCCUGCCUGUUAAAUGGGACCACAGAUGUCUGUCCUGCAAUGGCCUGAGAUACUGUCUUGGAUUUGCCCAACUGUACCACCAUCUUGGUAAGAAUGUGGAGCGAGGCAGGGCGGGGUGGUGGCGCAUGCCUUUGAUCCCAGCACUCGGGAGGCAGAGCCAGGUGGAUCUCUGUGAGUUUGAGGCCAGCCUAGUCUACAGAGCAAGAUCCAGGACAGGCACCAAAACUACACAGAGAAACCCUGUCUUGAAAAAAAAAAAAAAAAAAAGAAUGUGGAGCACAAAGACUCCAGAUUGCAGAGUCCUCACUCACAGAAGCUAUUUAGCUCCUGAGCUUGGAGAGUGAGAAUCAGAUGCCACAGGACUGCAGAGAUGGCAUCCCAUAUGACAUCUCAUAGCCACCUGUAAAUCUACUUCCAGGGGACCCAACAUCCUCUUACAGCCUCCGUGGGCACCAGGCAUACAUGUAGCACAUGGAUACACAUGCAGGUCAAACACCUGCACCCAUAAAUAACCAACCAAUUUUAAAAAAUCAGACGCCAGCUUUUUGUUUAGCUAUGGUGCCCAAGGGUUGAACCCACACAUGCUAAGAGCAAUCCCUACCAUUGAGUCAUGCUCCAACCCCCAGGAGCCAAUUUGGUUACUGAAGCCAUCGCUACAGUUGAUGUGAGUCCUGAGGGUUGGACAGAGAGCAUCUCACAGAGCCUCUCUUAGGGUCUACUUGCAUCCCAAGCCAGAGCCCUUUCUCUAUUUAAAGAUUUAUUUAUUUGUUACGUAUACAGAAGAGGGCGCCAGAUCUCAUUGCAGAUGGUUGUGAGCCACCAUGUGGGUGCUGGGAAUUGAACUCAGGACCUCUGGAAGAGCAGUCGGCGCUCUUAACCUCUGAGCCAUCUCUCCACCCCCCUUUCUCUGUUUAAGUGAGAGUUCUGUAUUACACGUUUUCAGAGUAGAAACCUUAAGAUAGUCACAGAAAAUGGAGAGAAGAGCAGAGGCUCUCUGAACUCCACUGGGCCAUUUGAUGUCCCCCUUGGGGGAGGGCCCUGGUCUUUUCUGAAGAUUCUGGGCUGUCAUGGGGGUGGCAAGAGGGAAAGAAACUGUCUGGCAGGGGACCCUGCCAUUGACACAUGUCACCGUGCCCCCACUCUACCUGCGCCUGUGCUGGGCGUGGGACAAUGGGCUACUGGGAUGUGACAUCUGUCAAAGUUGUUCAUUCACCUUCAGUCACACACGUUACAAAGCAAGAGUGCUUUCCUAAAAUCUGUAGAACUGCACGGUGUUCUAGCUCUGUUGACAGAGCGCUUGCCUAGAGUGCAGGAGGCCCUGCACUUGGUCCCCUGCACGACACCAAGCGGGUGUGAUGGCAUGACCUGUAAUCACAGCACUCAGGAGGGGGAGGCUGGACGAUCCGAAAUUUAAGGUCAUCCUCUGCUACAUAUGACUUCAAAGCCAGCUAAGGACCACAUGGGACCCUGUCUCAAACAAAACCAAACCAUGAAAAUGACUUUCUUAUAAAACCGUCUCAGCUUAGUGUCUCUCCAUGCAAGCUUGCUACUGUAUGUGUUUAGAAAGUAUACAUACACGCCGGGCGGUGGUGGCGCACGCCUUUAAUCCCAGAACACGGGAGGCAGAGCCAGGCAGAUCUCUGUGAGUUCGAGGCCAGCCUGGUCUCCAAAGCGAGUUCCAGGAAAGGCGCAAAGGUACACAGAGAAACCCUGUCUCGAAAAACCAAAAAAAAAAAAAAAAGAAAGUAUACAUACUAUACAGUUAACCCUUUCAACCAUUUUGGGGUGUGCAGGUCAGUGGCAUUAAUUGCAUUCACACUGUGCAACUGUUACCACCUCCAUUUCCACAACUCUCUCACCUUUCUUCUUUCUUUCUUUCUUUCUUUCUUUUUUUUUUUUUUUUGUUCUUUGAGACAGGGUUUCUUCUGUGUAGCCCUGGCUGUCCUCAAACUCUCUCUGUAGACCAGGCUGGCUUCGAACUCACAGAGAUCCACCUGCCUCUGCCUCCAAGUGCUGGGAUGAAACUUACGUGCUCUCUUAUCUUUCUAAAUUGAAAAACUUUUUGUGGCUCUUAGGCACUAACUCUCCAAGUUCCCCUCCCCUCCCUGGUAACCACCCCUCUCCUUUCUGCCUCUCACCUUGCCCUCUCAGGUCCAUUAUUUAAGCCUAGUCUUUUUGUCUCUGGCUUCUUUCGCUUAGCGCAUGUCUUCAAGGGUCAUCUGUGUCAUACCACGUGCAUGAUGUGUGUAUGUGGACAUGACUGCCAUGGUGCUCAUGUGGAGGUUGGCAGACAAAUCUGUGAAACUGGUCCUCUCUUGCCUCCUUUCUCUGGGUCCCAGGGAUGGAAUUUAGGUCGUUAGGAAUGAAUAGCAGGUGAUCUCACCUGCUGACCCAUCGCCCUGCCUCUCUGCCUCCCUUUUAUGGUGAAUAAUACAAAGUCCAUCAUGGCACUGACAACAAUCUGUUUACCCAUGUGCUGUCUAUGGGCCCUGGGUUGAGCCAUCAUUUGGCUGUGUGAGUCAGGCUGCUAGGAAUAGGGGCAGCCUGGCAUGCAUAGGAAUCUCUGCUUUUGGAUUCUGUGCUCUUUUGUAGAGGGAUCAUUGAUAAGUUUCCACACCCGAAGACUCUGCCUGUGAGAACAACACUUCGGGAAACCUAGGGAGGAGAGGGAAGGGACCAGUGAAGUUAGGCACUUGGUGGCUAACUGAGGAUUCCCAAGCAGGCCAAGUGUGAGAGAGGUGAGCAGUGGUAUUUUAGAGUCUGGCUGAGGAGUCGAGGCACCUAGCAGGGUGUGACUGUGAGGGGGUCCAUCAAUCCGGUGUAAUAGCUCUGGCUUCUGCUGGAGGCAAGAAUCUAGACUGUAGAAGAGGGGGCCGUGCUCCACUCAGGAUUCGGCUCAGCUGCUGAUGUCCCCCUUAGCCAGGGAACAACAUAUUGAGUGAGGGUUUUCCCCAUAGCAGGUCAGUCUCCUGGAGUUCUUCAUGGUCCUUGUAGCCACCCAAGAGGACAUUGCCCAGGUAGCUUGCUCCUCCUUAUCCUUGACUGGAGGCUCAGCUGGGUUUCCUUGCUCAGAAGCUUUCCCAAGAGGGUCCCUCCAUGGUCACCCGUGUGCCUACUCACAUCACACUCACUGUGUGCUUACAGCAUGCAUAGUCCACAUACAUUUUCCUGGCCACGCCCAUCCAGAAACUCAACACUGUGCAUGCAUCUAAUUGUAGUACUGAGGCACAGAAACACAUAUGCACAUAAGCACACACCACAAACACAUACCCCAAAUCCACUGACAUGUACAUGUUCAAAUGCAAGUGUGCACACUAGUCACCUGCAUGUGUGCGUAUACAUUCACAGGCAUGAACACUCACAGAGGAGCACGCGGCCAUAUACAGUCAUAGCACACACACAGAGGAGGCGCAGGUGUAUAACCUCACACACAUGCAUGCAACCACAGGACACUCAGAUACACACCCUGUUCGUUCAUUCUCAUUUGCACACUCACACGUACUCCUUAGCUUUUUAAAAUGAUACUUACAAGCCUGAUGUGGUGGCACACACCUUUAAUCUUUGCAUUUGGGAGGCAAAGGCAGAUCUCUUUGAGUUCGAGGCCAGCCUGGUCUACAUAGUGAGUUCCAGGCCAGCCAGGACUUCAUGGAGAGACCCUGAGGCAAAAAUAAAAUAAAAAUAAACUACACUUAUGUAUUUAUUUAGUGUGUGUGUGUGUGUGUGUGUGUGUGUGUGUGUGUGUGUGUGUGUGUGUAGAUCAGGGGACAAUUUAGGGGUCCAGUCUCUCCUUCUACCAUGUGGGUCUCAGAGACCAAACUCAAUUAGUCAGGCUUGGAGGCAGGAGCCUUCAUCUGCUGAGCCAUCUCACCAGCUUCUCAUCUACGUACUCUUCAAAUUUUUUUUUAGAUUUAUUUGUCUUAUGUGUUUGAGUGUUUUGCCUGCGUGUACAUACAGCACCUGGACCUAGCGACUGCCACAUGCCUCGGCAACGGCGGGCUUGGCUCAUCCAGUGUCUGCUGCUCACUUCUUGAGGCAUUCCUGAUGGAUGCCUCACCAUCCCAGCGCGCACACAGAAUCUGGUCGUCUCCCAGAGCUGAGCCCUCUCUGGGGGCAGUUGGCGCCAGCUGGGCAGUUUCUCCCAUAGAAAACUCACUUCCCCAAGCUGGUGGAUGAGACCUCUGGGCUGCGGCCUGUCUUGUCUGUCCUCCACAGGAGGGACUCAGGCGUGGUCUACGGAUCCCACAGAAUCAGGGUCUGAGGUGGAUGUCACCAGAGUGACUGUCGGGGGCCACAGUGGUAUGCCCCUCCUCCUCCUCCUCUUAGUCUCAAGGCCUGGACCCCUCUUUUGGGAAAGACCUUUGCCAUAUCGGCUCCCCUGGAUUUGGAGCGCUUGGUUUGGGUCUGUCUCUGGGGCCUCUCCCGUUGGGACUCCUUUGUUACUAUUUGCUAACCUGCCUUCCUCAUAGGACUGUGAGCUCCCCAGAGACACACCUUGCCCUGUGUGCCUUUGGGAACCUAGUGAUGCUGGCAGGGCUCACAGAGAGCUGGUUCCAGGAGUACGCUGUGUGGAAUUCUGGUAUUUUCUCCCUUACCUGACUUGUUCAUUUCCUGAUCAAGGUGACCUUCCUGCUGCCCCUAGGGAGGAUUCCCACCAUGGGCCUCUUUCUCAACUUCUACCUCCCCUGGGCCUGCCAGCCUUCAGAUGUCUGAGGGAAACUCCAGGCUCAGGAGGAGACAUGGUAGGUGUGGCCUUGUCUACCUUCUGGCCCUGAGUGGGCAAAGCCUAAGCCAAGUGACCAGGCUCCUUUUUCUUCCAUGCCUGGGGCAGCAGGCUUGGUUAACCAUGGGGACCAUGAACCCCUUCCCUCAAGUGAGGAUAAAGCUGAUAGAAUAGUCCUAGAGAACUUUUCUGCCUCAGGUCAAUGUUCCUCCCUCCCGUAUGACCUGAAGGUAAUCUCGUAUCAAGUCUCUCAGCCUCAGUUUCCCUCUCUGUAAUACAGGGCUGGGUUGUCUCCCCUCACCCCAAGACCCUCUCCAGCUGUGCCCUUCUGUGACUGGAAGUCUGAGAGCAGAGGCAGGAAGGCCCCUCUUUCUCCACCUCCUCUCCCUGUCCCCCAGGGUCACCCCAAAGCUGCCCCUCCCCGGCUCCCUGGGACUUCCCUGCAGCUGCAGGCUGGGGAGACAAUCAGACGCUUUAGAGAAAUACAUUUUUGGGCUAAUUUGCCAUGCGUAAGUGUUUCUCUUACCCUUUAAAGGCAGAGAACAAAGAGACCUUUCUGUGCCCGGGCAGGCUGCUGGGAAGGGGACCGCAGCUGUACGGGCUGUCGACCCUCCCUCCCUCCAUCCCCGUAAGCAUCCCAGCACACAGCCCCCGUCCCCCCCAAGAGGGACAGCCUGGACUUUCCCAGCCUCCCCCAGUCGCCAGUUUGGCCCAGCCCCCUCCCACCAGCUGCCCCAGGCAGGAGGGAAAGUGUGCGUGGGUGGGUGGCGGCUGAGUGGGGAGGGGCACAAGGAGAGAAAGCCACUCUCCACGUGGUUGUGGUGACGGUGACGGUGGCGGCCAGGCUUCGUGAUGGUGCUGGCCUGCUGGUGUGUGUUGGUGUGUUCUCUGAGUUGUGCGGUGUGGUCACAUGCCGAUGGCUUCAGUCAUCAGGUGACUCACCAGCACCGAGGCAAUGUGGUGGUUGAUCAUUCAUUCAUUCAUUCAUUCAACUAGUCCGAGUUUCCCGUUAGUGUAGGUCUGUCUGUUGGUGGUAAUAGAAAAAAAACUAAUUGGGUUCCAGCGCUUCUAAGAGGCAGUGACAUCUUUGGGAGGAAGCAAUGUAAAACAGAAGCACAGAGCUGGAAGUGAGGCAUGACAUCCUGAGUGGGGCUGGGAGCUCCCGUGCACAGUGAUGAGGAAUGGGGUCAAGGUUAGCUCACUUGUCUCUGUGCUACCUAACUGGGUGGUGACUGUCUUGAGGCUGUGGGCUUCACAGUGACUGUCCCCAACCGUGAUGCACAGCACUCACUGGGCAUUUGUUCAGGCGGUCCUUCUGUCUAGAACCUGCUCCGUUCACGUCUCUGUUCUGUGGACUCCUCUGCUCUUGUACAGGGCCCUGUCACAGCUGUCUAGCCUCCUCCAGCAGGGCGUGGCCCCUCACCUGUCCUCCCUUGCUUCCCUGGUACACCCUGAAGCAUGUGUGCGUGCGUAGUGUGUCCACACAGAGCCACACACCCCCCUCUCCCUUUCUGUCUCAGUUCAUCUUCAUGAACCUCCCUCCCCUCAGACAAGGACUUUGGAUGCCACCCCCUCCAGCCUCAUAAGACCAGCUGCUAAUGUUUAUGGAACACUUACUGUAGGGCAGACACCUGUCAGCCCACUGCAUCACAGUGGCCGCUCUAUGGGGCUGCCGACUGCCUGCAACUGUGUUACCCAGAGGCCAGCUGGGCUAGAGGGCGGUUUGGAGCUGCCUAGAAUCAUCAGCUUUUUAGGAAGGAGGUGUCAGAGACCAGAUUCUGAACCAUUGUAUCUGCAUAAACCAGGAGCCUCCCAGAGCAGCCCCCACCCCCUGGAGCUCGUCUGCGUGACAUCCUGCCACGGGCUCUGUGUGUGCUCUGCCCUCCCCCGAGCCUGGACUCUCUGAUCCCCAGGCACAAGAGAGACAGGAGAAGAUGAAGGUAGAGAUGUGGAAGUGGACCACAUGAGGGCAGGCAGGUGCUGGAGAGCAGAACCAGAGCAGGUUCGUUUCCCUCCUGCUGUGGGGCACUGCUCUGGGUGAAGGGAGCCUUUGAUUUCACGACCCUUGAGUAGGGCUGGGGGUAUAGCUCAGUGAGUGCUUGCUCCGUGUGCUCACAACCCUGGGUUUGUCUCCAGAGCUAUCUAAACCAGGUGUGGUGACUCAUCCCUGCAACAAAAGUUCAAGGUCAUCCUCGACUACAUACGGAGUUUGAGGCCAGCCUGGGCCACAUGAGACAUAUCUUAAAAAAAAAAAAAACAUUACUAUAAGGGGCCGAUGACAUGGAUCAGUGGUGAUGACACUUGCUGCUAAACCUGACAACCUGAGUUCAGUUCCCAGGACACCCCGUGGCGGAACGAGAGAGCUGACUCCAAGUUGUCCUCUGACUUCCAUACAUGUAGCAAGGCACACAUGCAUGUACCAAGGCACACAUAUGCUCUUGCUUUUGUGCUCUCCUUGUCUCUCUCUCUUUGUAUGUGUGUCUCUCUCUCUCAUUUAUAAAAUCAGCAAUUCUUUAAAGGAGAAGAGAAGAAAGAAAGAAAAAAAACCCUUGAGAGAUCCCUGUGGUCCCCAGCAGACAGCAGAAGUGGGCAGCAUGCUGACAGCUGUGCAGAUUCCAGAUGCAGGGCGACUGUACCUGUGCGCAGGUGUGUUAGUGCGAAUGUGCAGUGCGGGGCUGCCUCUGCCCGUGCAUGGAUCAGAGGAUGGUGACCGCACAACGUGGAGGAGGCACACCUUCCCAUACACACGCACGCACGCACGCACACAUGCACGCACACCUGUGCACAUCAGACCUACUCCUCUGUAGCACGGAUGGAACAGCACGCUUCUACUCUCCCGGGAUUCAGGGGAGCAUCCAUUGUGACGGACAGGCCCACCGGAAUGGGGAUUCUGCUAAUCUGCCACCAGCCUGCAAGCACAGACCAUACCGUCCCAGCUUACUGAUGAGAACUUAAGGUGUUAUGUUUCUACCAGGGAGCUAGGGAGGCUGGACUUGGGGACAGUCUGUGUCUCUUCAGGAAGCACAAUCUGAGAAAAGAAAGUACCCUGAAAAACUGCUGGGAAGUAGAAGUAAAGGCAGCAGAGAGAGGAGCAUUGCCCACCAAGGGCUGGAGCUUAGGGACUGAUUAGGACAAAGAGAGGCCAGAUGGUGGUGGCGCGUGCCUUUAAUCUCAGCACUUGGGAGGCAGAGACAGCCGGAUCCACGAGUUCAAGGCCAGCCUGGUCUACAGAGUGAGUUCCAGGACAGGCACCAAAACUACACAGAGAAACCCUGUCUUGAAAAACAAACAAACAAACAGGAAGCUGGAGAGCUAGCUCAGUGAUUUAGAGCACUUACUGCUCUUGCAGAAGAUCUGGAUUCGCUUCCCAGCACCCACACCUCAACCCUCUGUAACUCCAGUUCCAGGGGAUUUGAUGCCCUCUUCUGGCCUCCACAGGCACCAGGUAUGCACAUGAUGCAUAGACAUAGAUGAACUCAUAUACAUUAGUAAACUAAGUAAAUACAUACAAUGUUUUAAAAAGAGGAGGAGCAGUGCCAGACAUCCUCACCGGCCCUUGGACAGGAGUGGAGUAGGCUGCUGUCUAAUUUACACAGAAAAGGGAAAGCUAGGCACGGAGGCCCAGGCUUGUAAUCCCAGAACUGGGCCGGCUAAGGCAGGAGAUUGCUCAGUUUAAACCAGCCUCGUUUUAAAACAAAAUGAAACAAAACAACUGAAAUCAAAGGAAGCCCUAGUUUGACCUCUUCAGUUCAGAGAAACCCAAAACAGAGAUAGGAGCUGAGGGAGAGAGGGAGGGUGAGAGCGGAGAUGAAGAGCGGCAAUGGAGGUCCACUCAGAAAGUAGCUCCUAAGCCUGCUGCGCACCAGGCUGAGGACUCAGCCUCACAAGCCCUGUCUCAGGGCGGCUGCAGCCUAGGAGGGGACAGUCAGAUGAGCACUACUUAGUGCCACGAGGGCAAGGGUCAGAGUGGGAACUUGAUAGACCAUGGGAAAGAACUCUCCAGGAGGUAGCAUCCGGCUUGGGUUUUGAAGGAUGUAGAGGAGUUGAGGAAGACCGACCAGGGAGUGGGGGAACUGGUUUCCAUAUCACACAGGCAGGAUGUGCUGGCUCCUGUGUUUGUAACAAUUGAAAUCAGAAGCCAGUCUGUGCUCCAGAGACUGGGUAGCAGGGGGCCAGUGGUAGACUUCUCUUGCUUCUCUGCUGAGGUAAGAGCUUGGAUUCAGUUCCCCAGCUCCCUCCUAGUUCCAGAGCCUCAGUCCAACCCCUUCAGCACCUCAGUGUCACCUCGGCAGCACCCCUCAGGUCUCCUAAACACCUCAGUGUCACCUCUUCUGUGUGACUUGGACCAAGGCAUGAAGGGGCUGUUCCACACCAACUCACGACAGUAGCGGCCUGCCUUGGGUUGGGCAGCGGUAAGUUUGGGCUUCUAUUAGUAGCCAGUGGGACACACUGAGGGAUUCUGAGCACAGCAACAAUGUCAUGAGUCCAAGACUCACCUAUGAGCUUGACAGAGUUAAGAAGCCUCUAGGGGAGCCAGGCGAAGGGCCCUGGGCAGUGAUUUGCUGGUAGGAGCUUAGUAACCAGCUCUGAGGGUGAUGGAGAACAGAGAGGUCGAUUCGGAUUUUCAGUGUUAAAAUCUCCCCUCAACCAGUGUCAAGUUACCAAGGGAAAACCACAGCUUAGAAGUGUGGGGUGAGUAGAGCAGUCGGCUCUCAGGAGCUGGUGUGAGCUGACUCCAGCUCGCUGCCUCUCCAGGGCUGUAGGGUGCAGUUUCUAAGUCGGUGGGUACCCAGCCCUCCUUCUGUCCUGGUUUAUCGCUUACUCCAGGGGGACAAGCAGAUGGUAGCCAGGGUGGGCAAGCCAUCUCUGGUCUGUCUGAGGCCCUGACCUACAUCUCAGCUUUAGCUCGGUGAGCGUGUGUUGUGACUCAGGCACACUUCACCCCACGCUCAGGGCUGUGUGAGACCACUGGAGGACCACAUACAGAAGGGGGCUAAGGGCAGCAUGGGCUGGGCUGCACAGGGAUAAAGGCAAGGCCUCUCCCACUCUACCCUUAGCUCAUUUGUGGGACAAAUCAAUCAGCUGUCACAGGGAGUGCGAAGUGAGGGAGGGGCUUGAACAGUCCCCAGGCAAGGGACUCCAGACCACCCAUGCCUCAGCCUACCUGUAAUGAGAUGUGUCUCUGGGCCUUGGCAUAUCUGGCAUUGCCCCCCUCCCUGUCUCUGGGAAAAGCCCUAGUCUAAAGGGCUUGGAUCCAACAUGGCCUCCAGUCUGCUCAAUCUUUCUCAGGCUCAUUUAUCAAUCAGGGACAAUACUUCAAUUUUUUAAAAGUAUAUUGUUGUUUUAUUUAGUGUAGUUGUUGUCAUAUAGAUUUUGUUUUUGUUUAAAUUUUGUAAAUAUUAUUUUUUAUUUAUUUACAUGUCUGUGGAGAGGGGCAUCCACAGAGGGUGUAUGACUCCCUGGAGCUGGAGUUAUGGGCAGCUGUGAGGUGCCCCACGUGGGUGCUGAAAACUGAACUCAGGGCCUCUGGAAAAGCAGGAAGCACUCUUCCCACUGAGCCGUCUCUCCAGCCCUUGUUUUAUUUUUAAGCCAUAUAUCUGAUAGAAGAGUCCACUAAAUUAGUAAAAAAAUUCGAAUGUACCACAACACAAAUUCCACAAAGGUUAACAUUUGACCUUGUCUGAUCUAUCUAUAUUUUCCUAUCAUUUUCUUUUCCAUUCUUCUCCGUGCUUCUGUAAGACAUGCACAAGCACACACACACUACACAUCAUGCACACACACUACACAUCAUGCACACACACACUACACAUCAUGCACACACACACAACACAUCAUGCACACACACCCUACACAUCAAGGACACGUGCUGAAAUAAAUCUUCAUUCCCCAUGAUUUGGCAUGUUUCAUUAAAGCAAGGUGCUCUUUUUAUCUAAUUACAAUGUAAUUAUCCAAUAUCAGAAAAUCAGCAUUGCUGCUGGAUAAUCCACAGACCUCAGUUUUAUUAGUCAUCAGUUAUCUCACUAACAUCCUUUAUAACGAUGCUGUUUGGACCUUGUAUGAUGGUUGCCAGGGUUAAAUGGAUGUCCUUGACACAGAAGAGCCCAUUCAGGACAGGGUUGACAAUAUGGCUCCUUGCUACCCUCCCUGUCUCCCCCAUUCUUUCCCGGGGUCCCCACCAUGUCUGUGGGCACUCCUAAGAUCCAGACAGGACUGUGGCCAUGCCCAUCUCCCCCUACAGACAUCAGACUCCUGAGGGUGGAGAGUGAGUGGCAUUCUCCUCUGGGUUCCACCAGCUUAGCACAAUCCUGACACCUGUGACUUUGAUAAGUCCCCGGCCUUGGCCCUCACGCCAACUCCAGGCCCUGGUCCCAGACCCUUCACAGGUUUCCUGGCUAGGUGGCUGUUCCUCCUCAUCUGGCUGCCGCUUCCUCAUGUAGGACGUGGGUAGCUUCUAGAGUUGCUUCUAGCCCCCAAAUGUCCACGUCUCAAACCUGUGUUACCACCCUGCCCCUAGACCAGGCCCCACCACUUCCUGGCACAUCAAUGGCCUCACUGUUCUUGAAUGAUCCAGGCAUGAAACUUUCGAAUUCAUCACCCUCAUGGCUGGUCAUCAGCCUCCGCCGUUUUUCCCUCAAGCCAUUGUUCAUGUCCACCAACCCCUUCCAAGGGCUCUGGUCCCCUCUUUCUUGGACUCUGUUCUGGUCUGAAGUUGGAAGCUUCUGUCCACUUUCUAAAUGGCCAACUCCAGCAGAGCACCAGGGGUCAUACUGGGGCCCACAGUUUCCUGGCAGGAAGUGACUUAACAUCCACGAGUGUUUCCACCCUCAACAACCUCUGAGCAAGGAGCCUUGCUGCACCCUGGAGGCUGGGGCCCAGGAGAGGCUGGGGACACUGGGAUUAAACCUGGAAGAGGAAGGAGCCCUAAGGGGUGUGUGCAGAGCACCACACUGAGCUUUGACCAUUCAAAAAUGCCCUUGCCUCCCAAGCUCAUUCUCACCCACCAUCAGCCAUCACCACUGCUCAUGCCCUCUGCUCACCUCCACUGGGCCCUGCCCUCGGUCAGACACGGGGUAAGGACCCAAUGAUGCCACACACUAACACCAUCCACACUGUGCACACACACAAGGGGCAGCAGGUGCCACCCUUCUGGGAUCUGGAGCUUGGCAGAGGACAGUGGAGCUGAGCCUUGAAGAAUGAGCAGGAUUCUCCCCGGAGCCAGACCCGGGCAGGGGAAGUGGUGUGCACGGAGUUAGGGACUUGGAAGCAUUUAGGGGUGCUCAAGCUGGGAGAGGUGAGGUGGCCAGACUGGGGGACAGUGAAGCAAGGCUGAGAAGGGCUUGUGGAUUAAGGGACUUCUGAUCAGAGAUGUGUGGCCUCGGGGACCCUUAUUGCCAUCCACAACUGCUGUCUUCUAAAUGGGGUCAGCUUCUCCGAUCUGGGAUCUGGGAAAGCAAGAGGGUACCGGCUGAGCCCUUGCCAUUUUGCACAGAGCCACAGAAGAAAGGGCUUUGGCCAGGGUGAUCAUCUGUCUUUGGGGAGAAGCCAGGCGGGCCAUUGCCCUGAGUCUAGAGGGUUGGGGCUGAGGAAGGAAGGGGUUCAAGCCUGGUGCCCCAAGUGCCUUUGAGGAGGACCGGUUGGGUGAUAGGCCUAGCUGCUGGGAAUCCUGGGAAAGAGCCACAGUGCCCACGGGGCCUCGCCAAAGCAAACCAAGCUCUGCCUCCCUGUGCUAGAGGGUGGGGGGUAGGGGGGUGUCUGGCCCCAGGGGAACGGGAGGAACCGGGUGGCGGAUUUGUGUUUCCACUUGAUUUCCUCGGUUGUUUUCCAAGCGUGGUAGCGGUAUCCUGAGGGGCGGGGUGGAGGCGGAGAAGCCACCGGAAGGCGCCAUAGCCCCACGGCUGCCUGCCCCCCAUGUGACUUGGCUGACGACAGUACUGCGUGGAAAGGCCUAGAGGCUUCCGUCCUGGGCUGCUGGACAAGUGGGUGGCGUUGACCGAGGCACUGGGCCCACACGGGCCGCGCCCCGCGUGAUCCGUUGUCUCCAAGCAGGCUGCCCCACUUGGGUCGACCCUUUGAUCCCCAGCCAUGCAGCCUGGGACAUUGCUCUGAGACUCAGUUUCUCCCUCUGGAAAAUGAGAAUGGUAAUAGUACUGGCUUCCCGGAGAGGCCGCGUCAGUGAAUCAGGAUAAAAACCACAGAUCCUCAUAUCUCAUAUCCCAGGGAAGCAGAGGCCACAGGCCGAAUGGGAGCGUUAACAAAAUUAAAACCACACUGAACUGUU